AUUGAACGCUGGCGGCAGGCCUAACACAUGCAAGUCGAGCGGUUGAUGGGAGCUUGCUCCUGGAUUCAGCGGCGGACGGGUGAGUAAUGCCUAGGAAUCUGCCUGGUAGUGGGGGAUAACGUCCGGAAACGGGCGCUAAUACCGCAUACGUCCUGAGGGAGAAAGUGGGGGAUCUUCGGACCUCACGCUAUCAGAUGAUCCUCGGUCGGAUUAGCUAGUUGGUGGGGUAAAGGCCUACCAAGGCGACGAUCCGUAACUGGUCUGAGAGGAUGAUCAGUCACACUGGAACUGAGACACGGUCCAGACUCCUACGGGAGGCAGCAGUGGGGAAUAUUGGACAAUGGGCGAAAGCCUGAGCCAGCCAUGCCGCGUGUGUGAAGAAGGUCUUCGGAUUGUAAAGCACUUUAAGUUGGGAGGAAGGGCAGUAAGUGAAUACCUUGCUGUUUUGACGGUACCAACAGAAUAAGCACCGGCUAACUUCGUG
rnacentral:rRNA from 1 species